GAGGAUAAAUCAGAAUUGGAGAAGUAUUUGAGUUUAAAUGAGCCUGAUGCAACCGAUAGUGAUGACUUUGAUAUUCUCAUUUGGUGAAAACUCAAUAGUCAUAGGUAUCCUACUCUUGCCCUACUAGCUCGUGAUGUAUUAGCAAUUCCUCCAUCCACAAUUGCUUCGAAAUCAGCUUUUAGCACCGGUGGUCGUGUGCUUGAUGCAUAUAGGAGUUCUUUAAAGCCUAAGAUGGUGCAAGCUCUUAUGUGUGCUCAAGAUUGGCUACGUGAACCUUCUUAUUAUCUUCAUGACACUGAGAAUGAUUUGGCAAAGCUUGAGAAAAUUGAUGAAGAGUUGUCAAAGAUUGCAGUGGACAAUGUACUUGAUAAUCUUUAAGGUUGCUGCUGAAAAUCCAACCUAAGCACCUGCCAUUGCACUUCCCUUUGUUGCACCACCCUUGUCUCCUGCAUCUUUCCUUCCAUCUGAACCACCUUCUGUUGUUGUUGAAGACU